AAGGAGAAAAAAGUUUUAUUUUCAGGAAACAUGGUUAGGAACCUAGUGAAAGAAGAUUACUGGAACUCAUUACUUUUAUUUACUCUAUAAAAUAUCAAUCAUACAAUAGUACACGAUUUCGUGAAGGCCGCUGGCCAAGCCAUUCUUGGCUCUGACCAUAAAAAAGUUAAAAAAAACAUAAUGUCUAAUACACAAAUAUAAUUCACCUAGCACAUAAUAACUUCUAUUCCUCGCUCUUGGGAAUGUUGAGGUCUUUAAAUAUAGGACUGUCGACUCCCACGCCCAUUGCAUUCAAGCCGUUGUCAACGUAUAUAACAGCACCAGUAAUCGCUGAAGCCAGAGGUGAUGCUAGGAAUGCAGCCGUAGUAACACCAGUAAUCGCUGAAGCCAGAGGUGAUGCUAGGAAUGCAGCCGUGUUUCCUACUUCAUCUAUACAAGAAAGUAUAUUAACAACAGCAGAGACAAGGGAGAGACAGUAAAGAAUUCAUUUUCAGU
rnacentral:lncRNA from 1 species